GAUGAACGCUGGCGGCGUGCUUAACACAUGCAAGUCUUUCGGUAAACUGUGCUUGCACUGCCUGGCCGUGGCGGAGGGGCGAGCAGCGCGUAAGGACCUUGGUCUGCAGUCAGCUAUUACAGACGAACACGACGGAAGAGUGGUGAUAAAGUCAGGCUGUCGCAUGUCCGGCCGGAUGGAAAGUGAUGGUGCACGAGAGCCUUGCGGACUGUUAGCUUGUUGGUGGGGUGACGGCCCACCAAGGCGAUGAUAGGUAGCCGGCCUGAGAGGGUGGACGGCCACAAGGGGACUGAGAUACGGCCGUUACUCCUACGGGAGGCAGCAGUGGGGAAUAUUGGACAAUGGGGGCAACCCUGAUCCAGCAAUUCUGUGUGUACGAUGAAGGUUUUCGGAUUGUAAAGGGCUUUCAGCAGGGAAGAAAAAAAUGACGGUACCUGCAGAAGAAGCGACGGCUAAAUACGUG
rnacentral:rRNA from 1 species